UACAGAGGUCUCAAGCGUUGUUCGGAUUCAUUGGGCGUAAAGGGUGCGUAGGCGGCGCGGUAAGUCGGGUGUGAAAUCUCGGGAGCUUAACUCCGAAACUGCAUUCGAUACUGCCGUGCUUGAGGACUGGAGAGGAGACUGGAAUUUACGGGUGUAGCGGUGAAAUGCGUAGAUAUCGUAAGGAAGACCAGUGGCGAAGGCGGGUCUCUGGACAGUUCCUGACGCUGAGGCACGAAGGUCAGGGGAGCAAACGGG
rnacentral:rRNA from 1 species